GACGUAGGGGGCCAGCGUUGUUCGGAAUCACUGGGCGUAAAGGGUGCGUAGGCGGGUUCUAAGUCAGAGGUGAAAGCCUGGAGCUCAACUCCAGAACUGCCUUUGAUACUGGAAGUCUUGAGUAUGGCAGAGGUGAGUGGAACUGCGAGUGUAGAGGUGAAAUUCGUAGAUAUUCGCAAGAACACCAGUGGCGAAGGCGGCUCACUGGGCCAUUACUGACGCUGAGACACGAAAGCGUGGGGAGCAAACAGG
rnacentral:rRNA from 1 species